GAAGGCGUGGCUUCCGCGCUCUUUGAAAUGUCCGGCGCCGGAAUGUCUGGGUGCUUUGGUUGGAGAGGGUCCCAUUUCCAGUCAUUCUUCAGCCUGGUGAUUCCCGCGCUCCCCUGAGGAGCAUAUGAAGUACGUCGGUUCUGCCAGGUUGGAACGCGCUGCUGGACACUCGGCCGUAAGGCGGAUCCCGGAUCCCCUCCCACUCCGACCCUUCCCUCCAGAAGGGCCGGUUCCCAAACGGCCCCUUUAGACACAUCCAAGCGGUUGCCGACGGCCCUCACGAUGAAAACUGCUGUCCGUUGGUGAAGGCAGCCUCUUCUGUGCUCCUCGCCGCUGACUUCCUGAGGCGGACCUACCUGUGGAGGCAUACCAGGAACCAGACGAUGACCCCCUCCAAAAGUUGGGUCUUUGAGGAGAGCUACUAACUUGGGUUCCUGGUACACCCUCUACAUGCAGUGGUGAAGCUUAUCUAACAGUCAUUCAUAGAAUCAGUUUGGGAAGGGGAAUUUUCACUGAACUCUCAUAGAGAAACUGUGUUUUAGAUAACAGAAAGUUCUGCACGGUUAAAAUGGAACAGAAAUUUUUUUGCACAGAAAUUAGGAUUACCGAAAAUACUGAAGAAAGACUACCUCUGAUUGGACUCUUCUCAAGGAAUUAAUAAUUCAAGAACUAAGGAAAGAAAAAAGUGAUUAUAUGAAAAUACUGAAGUUGAUCGUAGCAGCUGAAGGCUGAUCCUGUAAUGUCACAUAAAUGGAAUCAUACUGUGUCCGGAAUUGGUGGGUUCUUGGUCUCACUGACUUCAAGAAUGACGCCAUGGGCCCUCGCGGUGAGUGUUACAGCUCUUAAGGUGGCGCGUCUGGAGUUUGUUCCUUCUGAUGUUCGGAUGUGUUCGGAGUUUCUUCCUUCUGGUGGGUUCGUGGUCUCGCUGGCUCAGGAGUGAAGCUGCAGACUUUCGCGAUUUCAUCUCUCUCUCUGCUAUGGACACAGAUGGCUUCACUCCAUCCUGUAUUCUUCGGACCAUGAUAAAAUUCCAGACUCUCGGUAGUUUUUGCGUUCCAAGAAGUAGAGCCUAGAGUGGUGGCCUAUAAUUACAGUUACUCAGGAGGCUGAGGCAGGAGGAUCCUUUGAGUCCAGCAGUUUGAGGCCAGCCUGGACACCACAGCAAGACCACCAAUAAAUAAAUAAAUAAAUGGAACAUG
ensembl:lncRNA UBL7-DT UBL7 divergent transcript